rnacentral:rRNA from 1 species
UCAAGUUAUUAAGGGUGCAGGGCGAAUGCCUUGGCACUAGGAGCCGAUGAAGGACGUGAUAAGCUGCGAUAAGCUUCGGGGAGUUGCACGUAAACUUUGAUCCGAAGAUUUCCGAAUGAGGAAACUCACUUAGAGUAAUGUCUAAGUAUCGUAUGAUGAAUACAUAGUCAUGCGAGGGGAACCCGGAGAACUGAAACAUCUAAGUACCCGGAGGAAGAGAAAGAAAUUCGAUUCCGUAAGUAGCGGCGAGCGAACGCGGAACAGGCCAAACCAGUGAAGUUUUCUUCGCUGGGGUUGCGGACAUAUCAUAACGAAGAGGUAUCGUAGAAGAAGAGAGUUGGAAAGCUCCGCCACAGAUGGUAACAGCCCAGUAUUUUAAACGAGAAGACUUUAGAUAUGAUCCAGAGUACCACGGGACACGUGAAACCCUGUGGGAAGCAGGAGGGACCAUCCUCCAAGCCUAAAUACUACCUAGUGACCGAUAGCGUAUAGUACCGUGAGGGAAAGGUGAAAAGAACCCCGGGAGGGGAGUGAAAGAGAACCUGAAACCCUGCACUUACAAGCUGUAGGAGCACAUUAUUUGUGUGACUGCGUACUUUUUGUAGAACGGGCCAACGAGUUACGUUGUGUAGCAAGGUUAAGCACUUAAGGUGUGGAGCCGUAGCGAAAGCGAGUCUUAAAUGGGCGUCCAGUUACCCGACGUAGACCCGAAACCAGGCGACCUAUCCAUGAGCAGGUUGAAGCGAAAGUAAAAUUUCGUGGAGGACCGAACCCACGUACGUUGAAAAGUGCGGGGAUGACUUGUGGAUAGCGGUGAAAUUCCAAUCGAGCCUGGAGAUAGCUGGUUCUCCCCGAAAUAGCUUUAGGGCUAGCCUCAAGCUUAGAGAAACGGAGGUAGAGCACUGAAUGUCCUAGGGGGUAUUGCACUUACCGAAGACUAUCAAACUCCGAAUGCCGUAUUCUUUUGCUUGGGAGUCAGACUAUGGGUGAUAAGAUUCAUAGUCAAGAGGGCAACAGCCCAGAUCGUCAGCUAAGGUCCCUAAAUGUAAGUUAAGUGGUAAAGGAUGUGGAAUUGCACAGACAACCAGGAUGUUGGCUUAGAAGCAGCCACUCAUUUAAAGAGUGCGUAAUAGCUCACUGGUCGAGUGAUUCUGCGCCGAAAAUUUCCGGGGCUAAAACUUACUACCGAAGCUACGGCAUCAUUAUGAUGGGUAGGGGAGCUUUCUAUGCGGCUUGAAGCAUGACCGUAAGGACAUGUGGACUGCAUAGAAGUGAGAAUGUUGGCAUGAGUAGCGAGAUGUGGGUGAGAAUCCCACAGGCCGUAAACCCAAGGUUUCCAGGGGAAGGUUCGUCCGCCCUGGGUUAGUCAGGACCUAAGCCGAGGCCGAAAGGCGUAGGUGAUGGACAACAGGUUGAUAUUCCUGUACCACCAAUAACCGUUUGAGAAAUGGGAUGACACAGUAGGAUAAGCUAACCGCACUGUUGGUUAUGUGCGGGCAAGUAUUGAGGCAGUUCCGAUAGGCAAAUCCGUCGGAAUAAUGCUGGGGUACGAUGCGGAGCGAAAUUUAGUAGCGAAGUAGCUGAUUUCACACUGUCGAGAAAAGUCUCUAUCGAGGUUAAAGGUGCCUGUACCGCAAACCGACACAGGUGGGUGAGGAGAGUAUCCUAAGGCCAGCGAGAGAACUGUUGUUAAGGAACUCGGCAAAAUGACCCCGUAACUUAGGGAGAAGGGGUGCCUUCGAAAGAAGGCCGCAGAGAAUAGGCCCAAGCGACUGUUUACCAAAAACAUAGGUUUCUGCUAAGUCGCAAGACGAUGUAUAGGAGCUGACGCCUGCCCGGUGCUGGAAGGUUAAGGGGAUCUGUUAGAGCAAUCGAAGCAGUGAACUUAAGCCCCAGUAAACGGCGGCCGUAACUAUAACGGUCCUAAGGUAGCGAAAUUCCUUGUCGGGUAAGUUCC